GGCAACUCUUUUUCUUCUGAAUUUUGUUCUGAACUUCUGAUACAAAAUGUGGCCUGGGAUGUUUUCUUCGGUUGAUUGCAAAUAUCACAAAUAGGAGAACAAUUUUGCAAAUACCAGGAGUCUUUAUUCAAAAUGUACAUAAAUUCAUUUAUAUAACAGAGCAUCAACUAUCCUAAAGCUACUUGACUUUAGUCCUGAUCGUGUUGUCUUGCUAGGUGAAACAACAUCUCAUGGACAUUUAUAGAAAUCACUGAAUCAUGUAUUCAUGUUCCACACAGGCAUGCACAACAACAGAUUGAGCCGGAGACUAUCUGCUGAUAGUUUUUUUUUUGGUUCUUCUAUCUUCCUUUUGCCAUCUUGUUGAUCGCCUUCCGUCAGUGUCGACAGAACAACACGCUCGUUGUCAGUGUCUCGGUGAAUGUCAUCCUAGCAUAGCCACCAGAUAAAAACUUGUCAUAAUCAGAAACUUUGUAAUUUAAUUAGAUCACUGGCAAUUAUGUCAGUCCAUCCCCAUGUGCCAAGAUGCAGCAGCAGGCAACAACUCCAAUACCAGUGGCUAGUGCCAAGAUGCAGCGCCUUCAUGGGCGAGCCUCCGGCCGGGGCGCCGAGGAGUGUGGUCGUGGAUGGCGGGGGAUAGCAGCGGGGAUGGAGCUCCGGUGCUUCUAUGACAGAGCGAGCAGGAGAGUUGUGGCGGUGGCGUCGACGACGAGCGAACGUUGGCGGCGGCGGGGACGAUGACGAGAGCGGUAGCGGCGGCGAAGAAAAG
rnacentral:lncRNA from 1 species